UCCCGUUUGUCACGGGCAGUUUCCUUAGAGUGCCCAACUUAAUGAUGGUAACUAAGGAUGAGGGUUGCGCUCGUUGCGGGACUUAACCCAACAUCUCACGACACGAGCUGACGACAGCCAUGCAACACCUGUCACUGGUCCAGCCGAACUGAAAGGGUUCAUAACAAACCCCGCGACCAGGAUGUCAAGGGAUGGUAAGGUUUUUCGCGUUGCAUCGAAUUAAACCACAUGCUCCACCGCUUGUGCGGGUCCCCGUCAAUUCCUUUGAGUUUUAGCCUUGCGGCCGUACUCCCCAGGCGGUGUGUUUAACGCGUUAGCUGUAUCACUGAUCCUGAAAGGACCAACAAUUAACACACAUCGUUUACCGCGUGGACUAC
rnacentral:misc_RNA from 1 species